ensembl:lncRNA
UUUUUUUUUUUUUUUUAAGAUUUUGUACUGUGACAGAGUUAAUAAUCUGUGAAAGCUUCUGGACUGCUUUGUUUUGUUGGGUUUUUUAUCUGUCCAGUAUUGAUUUAGUACUUGUCAAGCCUCUCAAUUCUCAUGAUACAAAGAAAAUGUACCAUGGCUUUUCAGAACACAGAUUUGUAUUCUCACUUCUUUCUGGAGUUAUUUAUCUUCUCUUUUUGAACACGUGUCCAGUAACAUUUUUUUCUCCAAUGCUUAGACUAAAAGGCUUUUAAGAGGCAAGAGCUGCAAACCCGACCUUAUUCACCUGCCUGUCCCAGAGUUCAAGCACAGGCAGCGACAGGGAAGUUUGGCCACACUGUGCCUGUGUUUCCAGGCAACCGUCAUGUUAAUCAGGAGCAUCCAACUGUGCUUGAUUAUAUCUAGUAUUUGAAGCAGAAAAGGAACAUAAAGUAGUUACUCCAGGGAGCAGACUUGAAAAGUUUUAUUUGGAUUCCUGGCUUCAGCUGCUUUCUAGCUAGCUGAGGCUUACACUUAAUUACAGUUUCUACAUGUGUGGAUACCUUGAUUGUCUGCUGUCAGUCAACAAAAUCCAUGUACUUUCCUGCUUCACAGCCUGUGAACCUCACAAACACAUCAGAUUUGAAUCCUGGGCAUUGAGACUGUAAAGCAGAGUGCUUAUCUUCCAUAUUUUCAUAAUGAAAGCUCCCAAGCACAGGAUACUGUGGCAGAUUUACAGCCUUCGAGCAGCAGAACUGACAGGCAUUUUAAUAUGAAAGGAGAUAUGAUGUCUUUAAUGUACUGUGAUGUCACUUCUAACAAGAAAUCUUGAUUUUAAAUGAAAAUGGUUUUCCGGAGCCUCUCAACCAUCAUGUUCUCCUAACCAGGGUGCUGGAGCACAGAAACAGCGACAGAGACAGCAAGCUACCAAGAGAAUCCAGUGUUGACAUCUUUUCUUGGCAGUGCCUAUGGUUUCAUUUGCUCUUGGCCUGGACAGCCAGACAACAUCCCUGCUGGACCAGGACAGUCAGAUGUACCUAAACAAUCUGCACUUAUCAGUUCGAGUCUCAUGUAAUUCUGAGACCAGUCUCCCACAUACCAAUACCAAUGGGAUUUUUCCUGCUGGAUUAAGCAGAAAGAGGAAUACCAGCUGAAAUCUAGAAAGACCAUGAGAGGAGGGGUUUUCCCACAUAAUUUGUAAUUAAUUAUGGUACUCACUGCUACAGGAUUUUAUGAAUCUCACUUUUUUGUAUAUAUUGAAAAUAUAAUCAGACAGCUUAAUGGGAGUAAAACCUAUCAGGGACUUUCAAAUAUGCAGACAGUAACUCUUAAAAAAUUCUUAUAAAAGCUAUCCCCAAAUCUUAGAUCACUAGAAACUAUGGGACUGUACUGAGGAUGUGUCACUGCAUGUUUGCCAUUUCUUAUUCACUUCCUUAGGCAUUUGCUGUUGGCUUCUCCUGGAGGAAUGGUACCUGGUGGCCUGGACCUUUGAUUUGAUCACUCUGAGUAGUCUGAGAUAUGUGAACAAAAAAUGUGACUUUGACUCAAAGGUUGUAUUCUAUGAUCACUUUUGACAAUUAUAAGCACAAGGAAUGUGGUCAUAUUUUCAAAUUCUGGGGUAAAAUAUAUGGACACCUAAAAUAUAUGGACACCUAUGGAUCUGAAACUUUUGCAUUAUUUGAGGGAAUACUUUGUUAGAAUAACAGCCUGAAGUGCCAGGAGCAGAGGAGAAGUAUUAUAGGUUAGGCCUACAUCCUGCAUAGAAGCUCAUCUUAAAUGGUCACUCUCUCUCCAUUUAGGGCAACUAUAAAAUCAAGCUAAUAAUGUUUAUACUUAGUUUUGGAAGGAGCUUUGAGAGCUAGAAAUAAAUGCUUACUCUGCAAAUGCAAAGAUUUAUUUUUUUACAUGGAGUGAUUGCAACUGAGUAAAAAUGGGAAGAGGAUCAAAAACAUUUGGAAGACUCAAGAUCACAAAUGACUGUCAGUGACACUAAUUUUCCUAAUGUUUUAGGUGCUUUUGUAUGUCCUCUAGGGAGGCUAAGAUGCAUCCAAUAAAAAGCUCUGGCAUUAUGUGCCCUAACUUCUGCCCGGGACCUGACGUGCAGUUCCAAACCUUACGUUAGGUACAGCAUUUCUGGCUGUGCAAAUAUUGAACACAUUUUGCCAACUGGAGAGCAAUGGAGUUGUCUCAGAACACUGAGUGUGAAGGCAAGAACCCUCUGCUAGGUGGAAAUUAAUUUUUCAGAGGAGCAAAGGCGUUGCUGUUAGGCAGAUUUUGGUGGCAUUUAAAAAUACAUCUCAUUGUAGGCAGCUACUUCUUCAUUUUGGGGAGAUUUAUCCCUAAAACCUCAGAUAUAAAAGAGUUGAGAUCUUUGCAAAACCCCAUUUUAUAAUAAACGCUGUGUAAUAAAUACUGACUCUGGCUUUAAAUUUAAAUGGAAUAAUUUAUUGCUAGAUUUGACUAUUCCCCUUGAAGAUGUCCAAAGUUAAAACUGGGUAUCUUCAAGGCCUGUUAGGACAAAGAUGGCUGAGGAGAAAGCUAGCUGUAAGCCAGCAAAGCUGACCACAGCAAGGGAGAAAUGUGAUGAUUACACCUGGGCCAGCCCCUGCUGCCCUGACUCCAGGCUCUUCUACGGAAAGAUGUGUAAGGACAGGGCGAAGAUUUUGCAGAAGCUGAGACACUGAAACUCAGCAGCCAGGGAUCACCCCUGUGGAAGCAUCUGGGAACAAGCAAGCUCAUCUAGCCACAAAAUCAAUCUUUAGUUAAAAUCCAUAAUCUUUCCAUAGGUUUUUAAGGCCAAUACAGUAAUGGGGUCCAAGAACUGGCUGUAAGAGUACAAUGCUUUAAUAGAGAGGUCCAGUUAAAGUUCCCUGGAAGCCUGGCACUGCCUCAUGGAAUGGUUAAUCCAUCUUCCCUCUCUGCCUCUGCUGUUCCUGCACAUUUGAACUGUCAUAUCCUUUCUCCAUUAUGUAAUAGCCUAGAGGUCACACAUGUUCCUUUGCUUUGAAUAAUACAUCUCUAUGAAGCCUCAGUAUCUCUAUUUGAAAAUUUAUUUCUUUCAUUUUAAUAUUUUAUCAAUUUUGCCCUAAAUGGAUGACCUUAACUGGUUGCAGUUCAUUUCAUUUCUUCUCUGCUUAAAUAUUUUAAAGGUUCCAGAGUACAAACAUCAUUCAUGCAGUGUGUAACAAAAA